AAUAAGUUUUAUUUUGGCUUAAAGUUUUAUUAUAAAUUUAAUUUACAUGUAAAUUUUUGUGAGAUUAAUUUAUAAUUUCUAAAAGAAUUUUAAUUAAUUUUGUUCGCAGUAAUUAAUAUUAAUUAUUAAAGUAAUUUAGAAUUAGUAAUAUUAUUUAGUAUUAGCUAAAUUUGUGCCAGCAGCUGCGGUUAUACAAAAGAUACAAAUAAAUUUUAUUUAUUUAUAGUAAAAUUUUAUAUAUAUAUAUAUAUAUAAUAUUUAUAUAUAAGUAAAAAUUUUAGGUGAAAUUUUAUUUUUUAAAAAUUUAUAAAAUAUAAAUAAUUGAUUCUAAAAAAUUUUGAUAUUAAACUAGGAUUAGAUACCCUAUUAUUCAUAAUGUAAAUAAUGUUAUAAGAGUAGUAAUAGUUAAGGUCUUGAAACUCAAAAAAUUUGGCGGUAUUUUAAUUUAUUCAGAGGAACCUGUAAUGUAAUUGAUAAUCCACGAUGAACCUCGUUUAAUUUUGUUUUUCAGUUUGUAUAUCGCCGUUAUUUGAAAAUUUUAUAAGAAUAAUAAUUUUCAAAAUUUUUUAUAAAAAAGUAAAUCAGGUCAAGGUGCAGCUUAUAAUUAAAUAUACUAUGGGUUACAAUAAAAUUAUUUAUGUUGGAUUAUUAUAUGAAAAAUAAUAUGAAAUUGGAUUUGAAAGUAAAUUUUAAUAGAUUAUAAAAUUGAUUUUAAUUCUAAAAUAUGUACACAUCGCCCGUCGCUCUUGUUAAUAAUAUAAGAUAAGUCGUAACAAAGUAGAUGUACUGGAAAGUGUAUCUAGAAUGAC
rnacentral:ncRNA from 1 species